CCUACGGGUGGCAGCAGUGAGGAAUAUUGGUCAAUGGACGAGAGUCUGAACCAGCCAAGUAGCGUGAAGGAUGACUGCCCUAUGGGUUGUAAACUUCUUUUAUAUGGGAAUAAAAUGUUCCACGUGUGGGAUUUUGUAUGUACCAUAAGAAUAAGGGUCGGCUAACUCCGUGCCAGCAGCCGCGGUACUACGGAGGGUGCGAGCGUUAUCCGGAUUUAUUGGGUUUAAAGGGAGCGUAGGUGGAUUGUUAAGUUAGUUGUGAAAGUUUUCGGCUUAACCUUAAAAUUGCAGUUGAUACUGGCAGGCUUGAGUACAGUAGAGGUGGGCGGAAGUCGUGGUGUAGCGGUGAAAUGCUUAGAGAUGACGAAGAACUCCGAUUGCGAAGGCAGCUCACUGGACUGCAACUGACACUGAGGCUCGAAAGUGUGGGUAUCAAACAGGAUUAGAUACCCGAGUAGUC
rnacentral:rRNA from 1 species